CUACGGGUCGCUGCAGUGAGGAAUAUUGCACAAUGGGGGGAACCCUGAUGCAGCAACGCCGCGUGGAGGAUGACGUAUUUCGGUGUGUAAACUCCUUUUAUAUGUCAAGAAAAUGACGGUAGCAUAUGAAUAAGCACCGGCUAACUCCGUGCCAGCAGCCGCGGUAAUACGGAGGGUGCAAGCGUUACUCGGAAUCACUGGGCGUAAAGGACGCGUAGGCGGGUUGGAAAGUCAGGUGUGAAAUCCUACAGCUUAACUGUAGAACUGCACUUGAAACUUCUAAUCUAGAGUAUGGGAGGGGGAGAUGGAAUUAGUGGUGUAGGGGUAAAAUCCGUAGAUAUCACUAGGAAUACCUAAAGCGAAGGCGAUCUCCUGGAACAUUACUGACGCUAAGGCGUGAAAGCGUGGGGAGCAAACAGGGUUAGAUACCCUUGUAGUC
rnacentral:rRNA from 1 species